GAGAGAGAGAGAGAGAGAGAGAGAGAGAAGAAGAAGAAGACGUCACUCACUUGUGUAUUUGUCUUCGUUGCCAACUCGCGGCGUUUCAAUUUUUUUUUUAAUUUUCCGCUCUUUGUUUUUGUUUUUGGUUUUGCUGCUGCAGCAAAGUGAAGGUGUUGGACAAGAAGAAGAAGAAGAGAAGAGAGAGAAGAGAGAAGAGAGAAGAGAA
rnacentral:ribozyme from 1 species